GAGCGGGCGGAGGAGUCUUAUAUGAUGGAGGGUGGUUUUAGGGUUUUGCAGUGCUUGUCUUAAACGGUAAGCGAUUAUUGUAAAGAAAAAUCGAAAUUGGCAAAGACGCCAGAGAAGAUCGGAUCUAGAUUUGGAGAGAGAACAGUGUGGAAGGAGCACAAGGAGUGUUGGUAGUCUUCCUUGUGUCCUUAGAGCCGACUCAGGUGACUUAGAUCUCCGGGGAAGCUUUGGCGGUGACGGAGGAAGCUUGGAUCUCAGAAUCGCCUUUUGCGUCUCCAAACCUAGCGGCGCCAUUCUUUUUUCCAUACAGUAUAAUAUUGUGUUUCAUUUUGAUGUUUCCCUAAAAAAAUAUUGAGUGGUAUAGAAAGAAUAAUUCGGUUCUUU
rnacentral:lncRNA from 1 species